UACGUAGGGUGCGAGCGUUGUCCGGAAUUACUGGGCGUAAAGAGCUCGUAGGUGGUUUGUCGCGUUGUUCGUGAAAACCUCACAACUCAAUUGUGGGCGGUGCGGGCGAUACGGGCAGACGUGGAGUACUGCAGGGGAGACUGGAAUUCCUGGUGUAGCGGUGAAAUGCGCAGAUAUCAGGAGGAACACCGGUGGCGAAGGCGGU
rnacentral:rRNA from 1 species